UACGAAGGGGGCUAGCGUUGCCCGGAAUUACUGGGCGUAAAGCGCACGUAGGCGGUUCUUUAAGUCAGGGGUGAAAUCCUGGAGCUCAACUCCAGAACUGCCUUUGAUACUGGGGAUCUCGAGUCCGGGAGAGGUGAGUGGAACUCCGAGUGUAGAGGUGAAAUUCGUAGAUAUUCGGAAGAACACCAGUGGCGAAGGCGGCUCACUGGCCCGGUACUGACGCUGAGGUGCGAAAGCGUGGGGAGCAAACAGG
rnacentral:rRNA from 1 species